GAUGAAGAACGUAGCGAAAUGCGAUAAGUAAUGUGAAUUGCAGAAUUCAGUGAAUCAUCGAAUCUUUGAACGCACCUUGCGCUCCUUGGUAUUCCGAAGAGCAUGCCUGUUUGAGUGUCAUUAAUAUAUCAACCUUCUCUUUUUUGAGUUGUUUGGAUGUGGGGGUUUGCUGGCCUCUUAAAUGAUUCAGCUCCCCUGAAAUGCAUUAGCAGAACAACCUGUUCAUUAGCGUGAUAAUUAUCUAUGCUAUUGAAUGUGAGGGCAGUUCAGCUUUCUAACCGUCCUUGGACAAUUCAUCAUUAAUGUGACCUCAAAUCAGGUAGGACUACCCGCUGAACUUAAGCAUAUCAAUAAGCGGAGGA
rnacentral:misc_RNA from 1 species